UACGGAGGGGGCUAGCGUUGUUCGGAAAUACUGGGCGUAAAGCGAACGUAGGCGGCUUGGCAAGUCAGGGGUGAAAUCCCAGUGCUCAACACUGGAACUGCCUUUGAAACUGCCAGGCUUGAAUCCUGGAGAGGCGAGUGGAAUCCGAGUGUAGAGGUGAAAUUCGUAGAUAUUCGGAAGAACACCAGUGGCGAAGGCGACUCGCUGGACAGGUAUUGACGCUGAGGUUCGAAAGCGUGGGGAGCAAACAGG
rnacentral:rRNA from 1 species